CGCCUACAUGAAGCUGGAGUUACUAGUAAUCGCAGAUCAGAAUGCUGCGGUGAAUGCGUUCCCGGGUCUUGUACACACCGCCCGUCACACCACGGGAGUUGGAGACGCCCGAAGCCGAUUAUCUAACCUUUUGGAAGAAGUCGUCGAAGGUGGAAUCAAUAACUGGGGUGAAGUCGUAACAAGGUAGCCGUAUCGGAAGGUGCGGCUGGAUCACCUCCUUUCUA
rnacentral:rRNA from 1 species